AAUCACCUGGGACAGAGACAACCCCGGGAAACUGGGGCUAAUCCUGAUAAGCGAUCAGGCUUGGAAUAGUUGACCACCCAAAAGCUCAAGACCAUGCUCAAGAGGUGCCCAAGGACAAAGCCGCGACCGAUCAGGCUGUUGGUAGGGCAACGGCCUACCAAACCUAUAACCGGUACGGGCCGUGAGAGCGGAAGCCCGGAGAUGGAUACUGAGACAAGGAUCCAGGCCCUACGGGGCGCAGCAGUUGCGAAAACUCCACAAUGCACGAAAGUGUGAUGGGGCUACCCCGAGUGCCGUCCGCUGAGGAUGGCUUUUCUCUGCUGUAAGGAGGCAGAGGAAUAAGGAGAGGGCAAGCCUGGUGUCAGCCGCCGCGGUAAUACCAGCUCUCCGAGUGGUAGGGAUGAUUAUUGGGCUUAAAGCGUCCGUAGCCGGCUUGACAAGUCUUCUGUUAAAUCCAGCAACCCAAUUGUUGGACUGCGGGAGAUACUGCCUAGCUAGAGAACGGGAGAAGCCGACGGUACUCUCAGGGUAGGAGUGAAAUCCUAUAAUCCUGGGAGGACCACCAGUGGCGUAGGCUGUCGGCUAGAACGUGUCUGACGGUGAGGGACGAAAGCUUGGGGAGCGAACCGGAUUAGAUACCCGGGUAGUCCAAGCUGUAAACGAUGCGGGCUAGGUGUUGGGGUGGCUACGU
rnacentral:rRNA from 1 species